rnacentral:rRNA from 1 species
AGUGAACGCUGGCGGCAGGCUUAACACAUGCAAGUCGAGCGGCAGCGCGGGGCCAACCCUGUCGGCGAGCGGCGGACGGGUGAGGAAUUCGUCGGAAUCUUCCUUUUUGUGGGGGAUAACGUAGGGAAACUUACGCUAAUACCGCAUACGUCCUACGGGAGAAAGUGGGGGACGGCAAGCCUUCACGCGGAAAGAUGAGCCGACGACCGAUUAGCUAGUUGGUGGGGUAAAGGCCCACCAAGGCGACGAUCGGUAGCUGGGCUGAGAGGAUGAUCAGCCACACUGGGACUGAGACACGGCCCAGACUCCUACGGGAGGCAGCAGUGGGGAAUAUUGGACGAUGGGCGCAAGCCUGAUCCAGCCAUGCCGCGUGUGUGAAGAAGGCCUUCGGGUUGUAAAGCACUUUUGUCCGGAAAGAAAUCCCUGGAGCUAAUACCUUCGGGGGAUGACGGUACCGGAAGAAUAAGCACCGGCUAACUUCGUG